AGCCGCCGGAGGGCUACUUCCACUGGCCCAAUAGGUCAGAUCGCCCCAAGUUCAAACUAAGGGACGCGUGUCCUCCGCGGGCUGCUGGGGGGUUGAAGAUUUUCCACGGACCGCCUCCCUCUGAGGCUUAGGACCCAGUCGAGGCCUGUAGAAACUAUUUUCAAAUAAAUACUCAUCUGCAGCUCAGUACUGAGGCGAAGCCAGUUCCCACGCGAGUAUCCUGCUCCCUCCGGCCUCCCCGCUGGGCUGGGGACCGGUAUCCCGGUUCCGUCCCAGAGCCCCAAGGGCGGCCUUCCUUGCUGCAUCCCAGCCUUCACAGAAGCUGUCUGUACGCUUUGGGGGACAAAUGUCUUAAGCUUUAUGGUUUCCUCCAAGAAAUGAUUAUUGGAAGAUGGCGAUGUGGUGAACAGACGCAAAACAGCCUCUCUGAGAUUUGGGUCCAGAUCCUGGAAUAUAGCAACACGAGGAAAAGAAGGAGGAAACUGGGGUUCCAGGACCUAGCAAGGAUCUGAAGUGAGAAUUGGAGCCUACAGGGAGAGUGAAGAGGGAGACUUCAAUGAAGAAAGAGGAGGUGGCAAGUGGUGCUUUCUCCCUGAGCCCUGACUCAUUGCAUGGGAAGAGUAACUCUAACCUGCAGAUGCACUGUGACUACUGGUGACUCCAGAGGCUUCCACAGAGAAACAUAGCAGUGGAAAGGAGCAGUGGAUGCAGUGAACUGCAGUGACUGCAUCAUGUGACCAGUGGCCACUACACUGUACAAUAUGGAUAUGGAGGCAUAAAAGAGAACAGCUGAUCCCAAUCUACCUACCAGCUGAGAAUUCCUGAGGUGAAAAAGCUGGGUAAAAAGGAUGCCAAGAGAACUACCCUUGACCUGAUUUGGUACAGAGAAGUUGAAAAGGAAACCUGCACAAAACAGCUCCUCUCACCAGUCCAGCUUUUUCAAUAUGAUAGGACUCACUCACAUAUAAACAAAAAUGCUUUAAGAGAAAAGAGAAAUAACAGGAAAAAUGUAAAAUCUAAUGAAAAUAUCAGAAAUACGUUGCCAUGGAGCAGAUGCAAAUGACAAUAGUGCCCAAAACUGUUGUCACAAAAUUUAAUGAAGCAAUUGUUUCUAUUUGGAAGACCAAAAAUCCAAGAGGAGAUGGUAAUGCAAGAGUACAUAUCAAGAGAAAAAGGAAAAGAAAAAAAUAAAACCAGAGAGUACAGUGAUAACUACUGUGCAAAAUAAGAAGACACAGAGACUAUUAGAGAAAAGUAGCCGGGAGGGAUGGCCCCCAACUGUAAUCUCAGUACUUGGGAGGCUGAGACAUGAGGAUCACCAU